GUGUAGUGAUGUUUUCUCAGAAUGAAAAUAUUUGUAUCUGGAAUUUGUCUUUCAGCAUCAGUUGACCAGUCAUAAAAAGAGAAUGGUCUAAUGCCUCCCAUCAAAAAGAGAGCUAGCCCAAGGAAGCACAGUUUACACCUGAAGCAUUAGGACUUGCAGCAAGUGGUGAACUUCAUCAACUACGCAGAUGAUAAUGCAAUAGUAUUACCAGGACGCCACCCAGGACACAAACACUUUGGUGGAAAGCUGCUGCCAUCUCAUGUGACAAAAGCAGCAGUGUUGCGUCUCUACAAGGAAUCGAUGACAACACUUGAAGCUGUUAUUAAGUCAGCCAAGCUGAAGAAGCAAGAGCAGCAUCUCGUGCUUGUUCAGAAUGAGUGGUCUGUCUACCAGAAGAUGGUUAUUGACUGCAAGACCACCUGUCAAGACCUGCAGUUGUCUAUGGGGCCCUACUGAACCAGCAAGCAAGACAUCAAGAUGCAUUACAGCUUUGAUUUUGCUCAACAAGUGAAGUAUGCUUCUGACCCUAUACAGCCAGGUUCCAUCUACUUUUUAACUCCUCGCAAGUGUGGCUUGUUUGGUGUCUGCUGCGAAGGAAUACCACAACAAGUCAACUACUUGAUUGAUGAAGGAUUGUCAUCCAGCAAAAGUAGCAACGCAGAGCAUCAACUACAUGCAACAUUUCUUCACCAACACAUGUGGACCUGAAUUGUGAUACUGCAGUAGCCAAAACAAGAAAAAGUUAGUGCUCUGGUAUUGUGCCUGGCGAACCAUACACAAGCUCCACCACAGUCUGGACCUUCACUUCCUGAUCACAGGCCACACCAAGUGUGCCCCCGACUGGUGCUUCGGCCUCAUCAAGCAGCGCUUCCGAAAUACCAGAGUGAACACUUUGUCUGAGAUUGCUGGUGUUGUGAAGGACAGCACAGUGACAGGGGUCAACAUCCCACAGCUGGUUGGACUGGAGGAUGAUACAGUGCUGAUGGAAAGCUAUGGCUGGCAACAACACCUGACUCCAUACUUCAGGCCGCUGCCACAGAUCAAGCAGUACCAGCACUUCAGGUGAAAAUCAUUUUCAUUGCCUUGUAUGUGUUUAUUCUUCUUAUAUAAACUUGGGAGGUGAACUGAUGUUGUGCAAGGUUGUAAUGUCUUCUGAAUUGUAUUCCCUGAUUUACAACUCCGAUGCUCUGGAGCCUGGUGUUGUUGUCACCAAGGAGCGUUCGAACUCAGUCGGGACCAGGUUUCAACUGCUUUGCAACGCUGACAUCCUUCCUCCCAUAGAUGGUCUGACUUUACAAGCACCACCUAGACUGGACACAGCUAGACAAACAUAUAUUUUUGAGAAGAUCAGGGAGUUUUGCGACAAAAAGGCUAUGGGCAUCACAUGCCCUGCACCAAAGUCUGCAGUGUCUCUUUUCAAAUGACUCUCUCCUAACACACACGCCAUACGCUACAUUUUUGGGGUAUCCUGCUGCUCAGCCACUUUACCCGAUUGUAUGCAUUGUAUGCAUAUAACUACCUCGUCUAUCACUGAUAUUGUUAUUGAUAUUGUUCUUGUACAUACUGUAGAUUAUUUUAUUUAUAUUGACACUAUCUAUUUCUGAUAUUGCUACUAUGCAAGUAACAAUUUGGCUGUACCGUUUACACCUUCUGUAGAGACCCAUCCACUUAGCAAGACUUGAUAUAUUGAUAUGUAAAAUGAAUUUUGAUAUCUGUGGUCGUAACAUGAUUUUGUGACAUACUACAAAAUAGCAUGUGACCGUAUCAAGUGUCCACCACAUAAGUAUAUGGCACAUGCAUCUGUUUAUGUGUUGUACAUGUGCACCUCACUCUGGCCUCAAUUCAGGUUUUAUGGCCUUAUAUAUGGAAUACUAUGUGAUAAGUGCAUGUGUAACAGUAUAUAAUGUGUCACGCCUGCUCCCGCUCCCCCUCCCUGGCGCUCGAACGUGCCCGGCUCCCCAGCAUUACGCACUCCUGCCACCAUCAUUACGCACACCUGCUAUCUGCCCCGUCAUGCGCAUCAGGGAUUAUUGGACUCAUCUGGACUCAAUCACCUCUGUCAUUACCUCCCCUAUAUGUCUGGUUCCCCGCUCUGCUCCUGGCUUCAGCAUUAAUUGUCGUUUGUCGUUGUUUACCCGUGUGCUGACGCUGUUCCUGUUUUGUUACCUGUCUGUUCCUGAAUAAAUGUUGACUCCCCGUA